UACGUAGGUGGCAAGCGUUAUCCGGAAUUAUUGGGCGUAAAGCGCGCGUAGGCGGCAAGAUUAGUCUGAUGUGAAAGCCCCCGGCUCAACCGUGGAGGGUCACUGGAAACUGGGAAACUUGAGUACAGAAGAGGAAAGUGGAAUUCCAUGUGUAGCGGUGGAAUGCGUAGAUAUAUGGAGGAACACCAGUGGCGAAGGCGACUUUCUGGUCUAUUACUGACACUGAGGCUCGAAAGCGUGGGAAGCAAACAGG
rnacentral:rRNA from 1 species